UUACAGAAUAUUGAGUGGAUUUCCAUUAAUGAGGUAGUUUACAUCUUCUUUUUUUUUUUUCGUUUCAUGUCCUUGAAAUCCAAUGUGCAUUUUAUACACACGUCUCAGUUAAGACCAGCCAUGUUUCAAGGGCUUAAUAGCCACACGUGGUGAGUGGCUACUGCACUGGGCAGUGCAGUUCUAAAUCACCUAGGAAUUUACAGAGAAAAUGUUUUGUAAUUCAGAAGAAACAUUACCUAUUCCAGGCCACAACCAAACAACUGGAGAAGUUAGAGUCAUUGUAAUUCUUCCUUUUUCCCGCCCUCCCUUUCCUCUCCCCUCCUUUCUCCCUGAGUUUUUGGAAUUCAUUAAUCUCAAUUCUUCUCCUUACUGACCGUGGGACCAGGAGGUCUCCUACACUCUUUAACCUCCAUAUGACUCUCUCUCAGUAGAUGGUAAGCUCUGAGGGAAUGUGUCCAGAAUUCAGCACACUGCCUGGAAUGAUGCAAAGCACAAAGGAUGCGACGUGAGCCAAAACAAGCAGCCAGGAGCACGCUUCAGUCUGGGAGGAGAGCCAGACAGAACUCUAAGUGCUGUGAAGGAGAGAAGAACGCCCCAUGAGAGGUUGUAACAAAGGAAACUGAUCUGUUUCCCUCAGGAGGACGUUAUGGUUGGCCUGAAAUUUGGCAGAUGGACUGGCACAAGGUAAUUAGGGAAAGGAGACAAGGGACCUGCAGGUUAAGGCCCCAUGGAGGGAGCUGGAGCUCCACCUGCAGAUGCUAAAGCCAGCGGGCUGAAGUGGGGAGAUGCCGGUGGCUGGAGGGGCCAGUACAGAGAAGGCUCCUCAGGAAGUGGGGGCAGAGCGGGCAGGACACGCACCCCCUGGGAAGCGGACUGCGGUGGAGACACUCAGUCAGGCAUGAAUUAGGGAGUGCUCUUGGGAUCACACCUGAGGAAGGAAGGAAGCCAGAUUGGGCAGAGGGAGAUGCCAGUGGGGUGCGUGGAGGCUCCGGUGGGCCAUUAAGUCCUCUCAAGCCAGGAGAGGGAACAGGUCUUUCCAGGUCUGGAGGUGUCACUGGCCGGCCUUGGGUGAGGACUUUUCUCAGUAGAGGCAGUUCUUUGACUUCAUUUUCCCUGUGGGGGAAGAGGCACGUCUUCUGCUGCGAGGGAAGAGGAGGAACUGUUGGUGUGGGAGGCACCAUCUGAGAUCCAAGGAGGAUAAAGAAUUUCUGAAACAACCCUUGAGAAGAACAGGGACAAGACUGGAUCAGGGAAACAGCAGAACUGCCAACAGCAUCAAAGACGUGUCUUAGUGUUGAGCUUGCUCUCCACACUAGGAAUCACCAUUCAUCAACCUACACUGAUGUUACUAGAAAAAAAUAAAAUCAGCUCAGCCUAAUAGUUGAAGAAUAUGAAAAUCAAAAUUCAAGAUGUGGUGAAGAUACCAGAAUAAAACUUUUUGGAGAACUUUUAAAUUUGAGCACUCAGAAGGGGUACCUGGCCCAUCUCCUGCCCCUUCGCCUGAUCUGCUUGGGGAGUGGCCCCAAGCCUCCCUGGUACAUUCAUCUCUCCUGCCCUCGUGGAAUCCUCCCUCCCUGUUCCUUCUUCCAUGUUAUACAAGGUAACUCAGCUGAAGCUGGAGUAGUGGUAACUGCCGAAGCAGUUUUUGUUUUGUUUUGUUUUGUUUUUUCAUAAAGGCAGGACUAAAACCAAGGUGAAUGUUUAAAAUGAGACACUUGGCACCUCUUGCCUGUUGGGGUAUUAACACCUUCCCCAGAUUAGGUCUUAUUUUACAGGUACCUAAUUAAUCCCUGUUGGUCAGAACCAGUAGGCUAUCAGGUAAAAUGCAGCUGCAUGAAAACGGUCCUUGGAGGGGACGAUAUUGUAAGAUAGGGAAUGAAUCACGUAGGGACAACUUUCAGGGGUCACCUUCAGACUAGCAUUUUGGAAAAGCUGACCACCCAACGAUAGCUUUCUUGGUGAAGCUGUAGUAACAGGAACUAGUUCAUGGAAACCUUUGUGAGUUACUUACAAGAUAAAAAGGAUUGUGGCGAAGUCCCAGUGGUGUGAAGGAAAGCGUUUGGGUAUUGUCUAAACUGGAUUUCCCUGCAGUGAUUUGUAAAAGCCAAAUCGUGGAGGGCGGUCCUCCCCUGAUGAAUACAGGCCCUGAGAGAGGUCAGCCCCGAGCGCGUGCACCUCCAGUGGUGCGUGAAACAGGCACAUCUCCAGGCUUUUGUUCCAUAAGCAGACCAGCUUGGGCAGGAAAUUCAUCUGAGACUGCUCUGAAUUAGAAACUACAAAGUUAUGAAUGGCCCUUCUGCUCACAGGCCAGAGCCGUUGAAUCUCGAGUCCUUUAACCUCUUCCUAAUUGCUUCAAGGCAAACUACCCGCCCCCCGAAAAAGAUUUUUUUCAGGCAUUGUUUUCAGAAGAAACAAUUAAGGAGAAG